GUGCUCUCUUCAGCAGCACAUAUACUAAAAUUGGAAUGAUACAGAGGUUAGCAUGACCCCUGUGCAAGGAUGACACACAAAUUCAUGAAGCAUUUCAUGUAAAG